rnacentral:rRNA from 1 species
UUAAGCGACUAAGCGUACACGGUGGAUGCCCUGGCAGUCAGAGGCGAUGAAGGACGUGCUAAUCUGCGAAAAGCGUCGGUAAGGUGAUAUGAACCGUUAUAACCGGCGAUGUCCGAAUGGGGAAACCCAGUGCAAUUCGUUGCACUAUCGUUAACUGAAUACAUAGGUUAACGAGGCGAACCGGGGGAACUGAAACAUCUAAGUACCCCGAGGAAAAGAAAUCAACCGAGAUUCCCCCAGUAGCGGCGAGCGAACGGGGAGCAGCCCAGAGUCUGAAUCAGCUUGUGUGUUAGUGGAACGGUCUGGAAAGUCCGACGGUACAGGGUGAUAGUCCCGUACACCAAAAUGCACAGGCUGUGAACUCGAAGAGUAGGGCGGGACACGUGGUAUCCUGUCUGAAUAUGGGGGGACCAUCCUCCAAGGCUAAAUACUCCUGACUGACCGAUAGUGAACCAGUACCGUGAGGGAAAGGCGAAAAGAACCCCGGCGAGGGGAGUGAAAAAGAACCUGAAACCGUGUACGUACAAGCAGUGGGAGCACCUUCGGGUGUGACUGCGUACCUUUUGUAUAAUGGGUCAGCGACUUAUAUUCUGUAGCAAGGUUAACCGUAUAGGGGAGCCGCAGGGAAACCGAGUCUUAACUGGGCGUUAAGUUGCAGGGUAUAGACCCGAAACCCGGUGAUCUAGCCAUGGGCAGGUUGAAGGUUGGGUAACACUAACUGGAGGACCGAACCGACUAAUGUUGAAAAAUUAGCGGAUGACUUGUGGCUGGGGGUGAAAGGCCAAUCAAACCGGGAGAUAGCUGGUUCUCCCCGAAAGCUAUUUAGGUAGCGCCUCGUGAAUUCAUCUUCGGGGGUAGAGCACUGUUUCGGCUAGGGGGUCAUCCCGACUUACCAACCCGAUGCAAACUACGAAUACCGAAGAAUGUUAUCACGGGAGACACACGGCGGGUGCUAACGUCCGUCGUGAAGAGGGAAACAACCCAGACCGCCAGCUAAGGUCCCAAAGUCAUGGUUAAGUGGGAAACGAUGUGGGAAGGCACAGACAGCCAGGAUGUUGGCUUAGAAGCAGCCAUCAUUUAAAGAAAGCGUAAUAGCUCACUGGUCGAGUCGGCCUGCGCGGAAGAUGUAACGGGGCUAAACCAUGCACCGAAGCUGCGGCAGCGACACUAUGUGUUGUUGGGUAGGGGAGCGUUCUGUAAGCCUGCGAAGGUGUGCUGUGAGGCAUGCUGGAGGUAUCAGAAGUGCGAAUGCUGACAUAAGUAACGAUAAAGCGGGUGAAAAGCCCGCUCGCCGGAAGACCAAGGGUUCCUGUCCAACGUUAAUCGGGGCAGGGUGAGUCGACCCCUAAGGCGAGGCCGAAAGGCGUAGUCGAUGGGAAACAGGUUAAUAUUCCUGUACUUGGUGUUACUGCGAAGGGGGGACGGAGAAGGCUAUGUUAGCCGGGCGACGGUUGUCCCGGUUUAAGCAUGUAGGCUGGUUAUCCAGGCAAAUCCGGAUAAUCAAGGCUGAGGUGUGAUGACGAGGCACUACGGUGCUGAAGUAACAAAUGCCCUGCUUCCAGGAAAAGCCUCUAAGCAUCAGGUAACAUCAAAUCGUACCCCAAACCGACACAGGUGGUCAGGUAGAGAAUACCAAGGCGCUUGAGAGAACUCGGGUGAAGGAACUAGGCAAAAUGGUGCCGUAACUUCGGGAGAAGGCACGCUGGUGUGUAGGUGAAGUCCCUGCGGAUGGAGCUGAGACCAGUCGAAGAUACCAGCUGGCUGCAACUGUUUAUUAAAAACACAGCACUGUGCAAACACGAAAGUGGACGUAUACGGUGUGACGCCUGCCCGGUGCCGGAAGGUUAAUUGAUGGGGUUAUCCGUAAGGAGAAGCUCUUGAUCGAAGCCCCGGUAAACGGCGGCCGUAACUAUAACGGUCCUAAGGUAGCGAAAUUCCUUGUCGGGUAAGUUCCGACCUGCACGAAUGGCGUAAUGAUGGCCAGGCUGUCUCCACCCGAGACUCAGUGAAAUUGAACUCGCUGUGAAGAUGCAGUGUACCCGCGGCAAGACGGAAAGACCCCGUGAACCUUUACUAUAGCUUGACACUGAACAUUGAGCCUUGAUGUGUAGGAUAGGUGGGAGGCUUUGAAGCGUGGACGCCAGUCUGCGUGGAGCCAACCUUGAAAUACCACCCUUUAAUGUUUGAUGUUCUAACGUUGGCCCCUUACCGGGGUUGCGGACAGUGUCUGGUGGGUAGUUUGACUGGGGCGGUCUCCUCCCAAAGCGUAACGGAGGAGCACGAAGGUUAGCUAAUCCUGGUCGGACAUCAGGAGGUUAGUGCAAUGGCAUAAGCUAGCUUGACUGCGAGCGUGACGGCGCGAGCAGGUGCGAAAGCAGGUCAUAGUGAUCCGGUGGUUCUGAAUGGAAGGGCCAUCGCUCAACGGAUAAAAGGUACUCCGGGGAUAACAGGCUGAUACCGCCCAAGAGUUCAUAUCGACGGCGGUGUUUGGCACCUCGAUGUCGGCUCAUCACAUCCUGGGGCUGAAGUAGGUCCCAAGGGUAUGGCUGUUCGCCAUUUAAAGUGGUACGCGAGCUGGGUUUAGAACGUCGUGAGACAGUUCGGUCCCUAUCUGCCGUGGGCGCUGGAGAAUUGAGGGGGGCUGCUCCUAGUACGAGAGGACCGGAGUGGACGCAUCACUGGUGUUCGGGUUGUCAUGCCAAUGGCACUGCCCGGUAGCUAAAUGCGGAAGAGAUAAGUGCUGAAAGCAUCUAAGCACGAAACUUGCCCCGAGAUGAGUUCUCCCUGAGACUUUAAGUCUCCUGAAGGAACGUUAAAGACGAUGACGUUGAUAGGCCGGGUGUGUAAGCGCAGCGAUGCGUUGAGCUAACCGGUACUAAUGAACCGUGAGGCUUAACCU